rnacentral:rRNA from 1 species
AAGAAAGUUGUGAAAGCAACCUGACGGUACCAGAGGAAUCAGCAUCGGCUAACUCCGUGCCAGCAGCCGCGGUAAGACGGAGGAUGCAAGCGUUAUCCGGAAUGAUUGGGCGUAAAGCGUCCGCAGGUGGCAGUUCAAGUCUGCUGUCAAAGACCGGGGCUUAACUUCGGAAAGGCAGUGGAAACUGAACAGCUAGAGUAUGGUAGGGGCAGAGGGAAUUCCUGGUGUAGCGGUGAAAUGCGUAGAGAUCAGGAAGAACAUCGGUGGCGAAGGGUCGACGCGGCCGUUACUGACGCUGAGGAGCGAAAGCGUGGGGAGCGAACAGGAUUAGAUACCCCAGUAGUCCUAGCCGUAAACGAUGGAUACUAGGUGUUGUCUGUAUCGACCCGGACAGUGCCGUAGCUAACGCGUUAAGUAUCCCGCCUGGGGAUACGCACGCAAGUGUGAAAC